rnacentral:lncRNA from 1 species
AUGCCAUAUCUGCAGAAAUUGAGAUGUAAAUAAAUAUAAUAUUAAAUAAUAAUAAUAGAAAUUAAAUAAUAUUCUAAUGAAUAUAAUUAUAUCGUAUAUCAUUAUUGCAACACAAAAUUAAAUGAAGAAUAAAGAUCUACUCAUCAAUAUUCGUAUCUUUCUCGAUGUGUAGACCCUCAUCCGAAUCAUAGUAAUCAAUAUAUGUAUCGUUUUCUAUCUCAUCAUCAUUUAUGAACUGAUCGUCACCC